rnacentral:rRNA from 1 species
UACGAAGGGGGCUAGCGUUGUUCGGAAUUACUGGGCGUAAAGCGCGCGCAGGCGGCUAUCCAAGUCAGUGGUGAAAGCCCGGAGCUCAACUCCGGAACUGCCAUUGAAACUGUUUAGCUUGAGGAUGAGAGAGGUGAGUGGAAUUCCCAGUGUAGAGGUGAAAUUCGUAGAUAUUGGGAAGAACACCGGUGGCGAAGGCGGCUCACUGACUCAUUACUGACGCUCAGGCGCGAUAGCGUGGGGAUCAAACAGG